UUGUUGGUAAGGUAAAAGCUUACCAAGGCUUCGAUCAGUAGCUGGUCUGAGAGGACGACCAGCCACACUGGGACUGAGACACGGCCCAGACUCCUACGGGAGGCAGCAGUGGGGAAUUUUGGACAAUGGGGGCAACCCUGAUCCAGCCAUGCCGCGUGAGUGAAGAAGGCRUUCGUUGUAAAGCUCUUUCAGCCGGAACGAAACGGUUACGGAUAACACCCGUGACUACUGACGGUACCGGAAGAAGAAGCACCGGCUAACUACGUGCCAGCAGCCGCGGUAAUACGUAGGGUGCGAGCGUUAAUCGGAAUUACUGGGCGUAAAGCGUGCGCAGGUGGUUUUGUAAGUCAGAUGUGAAAGCCCCGGGCUCAACCUGGGAACUGCGUUUGAAACUACAAGACUAGAGUGUGGCAGAGGGGGGUGGAAUUCCGCGUGUAGCAGUGAAAUGCGUAGAGAUGUGGAGGAACACCGAUGGCGAAGGCAGCCCCCUGGGUCAACACUGACGCUCAGGCACGAAAGCAUGGGGAGCAAACAGGACUAGAUACCCUGGUAGUCCAUGCCCUAAACGAUGUCAACUAGUUGUCGGGCCUUUACGGGCUUGGUAACGUAGCUAACGCGUGAAGUUGACCGCCUGGGGAGUACGAUCGCAAGAUUAAAACUCAAAUGAAUUGACGGGGACCCGCACAAGCGGUGGAUUAUGUGGAUUAAUUCGAUGCAACGCGAAAAACCUUACCUACCCUUGACAUGUAUCGAAGCCCGCAGAAAAGCGGGGGUGCCCGAAAGGGAACGAUAACACAGGUGCUGCAUGGCUGUCGUCAGCUCGUGUCGUGAGAUGUUGGGUUAAGUCCCGCAACGAGCGCAACCCUUGUCAUUAAUUGCCAUCAUUUAGUUGGGCACUUUAAUGAGACUGCCGG
rnacentral:rRNA from 1 species